rnacentral:rRNA from 1 species
AUUGAACGCUGGCGGCAUGCCUUACACAUGCAAGUCGAACGGCAGCACGGGUGCUUGCACCUGGUGGCGAGUGGCGAACGGGUGAGUAAUACAUCGGAACGUACCUUAUCGUGGGGGAUAACGCAGCGAAAGCUGUGCUAAUACCUCAUACGCCCUGAGGGGGAAAGCGGGGGAUGGAAAGACCUCGCGCGAUUAGAGCGGCCGAUGCCUGAUUAGCUUGUUGGUGGGGUAAAAGCCCACCAAGGCGAGGAUCAGUAGCUGGUCUGAGAGGACGAUCAGCCACACGGGGACGGGGACACGGCCCAGACUCCAACGGGAGGCAGCAGUGGGGAAUUUUGGACAAGGGGGGCAACCCUGAUCCAGCAAUGCCGCGUGAGUGAAGAAGGCCUUCGGGUUGUAAAGCUCUUUUGUCAGGGAAGAAACACCGGCUCUAACACAGUCCGGGAAUGACGGUACCUGAAGAAUAAGCACCGGCUAACUACGUGCCAGCCGCCGCCGUAA